GGAUAACCUACCUAUAAGACUGGGAUAACUUCGGGAAACCGGAGCUAAUACCGGAUAACAUAUUGAACCGCAUGGUUCAAUAGUGAAAGGCGGCUUUGCUGUCACUUAUAGAUGGAUCCGCGCCGUAUUAGCUAGUUGGUAAGGUAACGGCUUACCAAGGCAACGAUACGUAGCCGACCUGAGAGGGUGAUCGGCCACACUGGAACUGAGACACGGUCCAGACUCCUACGGGAGGCAGCAGUAGGGAAUCUUCCGCAAUGGGCGAAAGCCUGACGGAGCAACGCCGCGUGAGUGAUGAAGGUCUUCGGAUCGUAAAACUCUGUUAUCAGGGAAGAACAAAUGUGUAAGUAACUGUGCACAUCUUGACGGUACCUGAUCAGAAAGCCACGGCUAACUACGUGCCAGCAGCCGCGGUAAUACGUAGGUGGCAAGCGUUAUCCGGAAUUAUUGGGCGUAAAGCGCGCGUAGGCGGUUUUUUAAGUCUGAUGUGAAAGCCCACGGCUCAACCGUGGAGGGUCAUUGGAAACUGGAAAACUUGAGUGCAGAAGAGGAAGUGGAAUUCCAUGUGUAGCGGUGAAAUGCGCAGAGAUAUGGAGGAACACCAGUGGCGAAGGCGACUUUCUGGUCUGUAACUGACGCUGAUGUGCGAAAGCGUGGGAUCAAACAGGAUUAGAUACCCUGGUAGUCCACGCCGUAAACGAUGAGUGCUAAGUGUAGGGGGUUCCGCCCCUUAGUGCUGCAGUAACGCAUUAAGCACUCCGCCUGGGGAGUACGCCGCAAGGUUGAAACUCAAAGGAAUUGACGGGGACCCGCACAAGCGGUGGAGCAUGUGGUUUAAUUGAAGCAACGCGAAGAACCUUACCAAAUCUUGACAUCCUUUGACCGCUCUAGAGAUAGAGUUUUCCCCUUCGGGGGACAAAGUGACAGGUGGUGCAUGGUUGUCGUCAGCUCGUGUCGUGAGAUGUUGGGUUAAGUCCCGCAACGAGCGCAACCCUUAAGCUUAGUUGCCAUCAUUAAGUUGGGCACUCUAAGUUGACUGCCGGUGACAAACCGGAGGAAGGUGGGGAUGACGUCAAAUCAUCAUGCCCCUUAUGAUUUGGGCUACACACGUGCUACAAUGGACAAUACAAAGGGCAGCUAAACCGCGAGGUCAAGCAAAUCCCAUAAAGUUGUUCUCAGUUCGGAUUGUAGUCUGCAACUCGACUACAUGAAGCUGGAAUCGCUAGUAAUCGUAGAUCAGCAUGUACGGUGAAUACGUUCCCG
rnacentral:rRNA from 1 species